AAUCCAUAGGUUAAUGAGGCGAACCGGGGGAACUGAAACAUCUAAGUACCCCGAGGAAAAGAAAUCAACCGAGAUUCCCCCAGUAGCGGCGAGCGAACGGGGAGGAGCCCAGAGCCUGAAUCAGCAUGUGUGUUAGUGGAAGCGUCUGGAAAGGCGCGCGAUACAGGGUGACAGCCCCGUACACAAAAGCGCAUGUGCUGUGAGCUCGAUGAGUAGGGCGGGACACGUGGUAUCCUGUCUGAAUAUGGGGGGACCAUCCUCCAAGGCUAAAUACUCCU
rnacentral:rRNA from 1 species